AUAAUUUGUUCGUUAUUCGAAUCAUCGUUUAAUUCAGUUUUUAAUGAACGUGAGAGUCUCUCGCCUUUAAAUGAAAAUUCUCGCGAUUCUUAAUAAACGCGGACCUCGUUGGAUAUUAGACACCGUCACCACGAGAUAUCAACCGAUUCGUUUCUUUCCGAAUCAAAUAAUUUGUUCGUUAUUCGAAUCAUCGUUUAAUUCAGUUUUUAAUGAACGUGAGAGUCUCUCGCCUUUAAAUGAAAAUUCUCGCGAUUCUUAAUAAACGCGGACCUCGUUGGAUGUUAGAGACCGUCACCACGAGAUAUCAACCGAUUCAUUUCUUUCCGAAUCAAAUAAUUUGUUCGUUAUUCGAAUCAUCGUUUAAUUCAGUUUUUAAUGAACGUGAGAGUCUCUCGCCUUUAAAUGAAAAUUCUCGCGAUUCUUAAUAAACGCGGACCUCGUUGGAUAUUAGACACCGUCACCACGAGAUAUCAACCGAUUCAUUUCUUUCCGAAUCAAAUAAUUUGUUCGUUAUUCGAAUCAUCGUUUAAUUCAGUUUUUAAUGAACGUGAGAGUCUCUCGCCUUUAAAUGAAAAUUCUCGCGAUUCUUAAUAAACGCGGACCUCGUUGGAUGUUAGAGACCGUCACCACGAGAUAUCAACCGAUUCAUUUCUUUCCGAAUCAAAUAAUUUGUUCGUUAUUCGAAUCAUCGUUUAAUUCAGUUUUUAAUGAACGUGAGAGUCUCUCGCCUUUAAAUGAAAAUUCUCGCGAUUCUUAAUAAACGCGGACCUCGUUGGAUGUUAGAGACCGUCACCACGAGAUAUCAACCGAUUCAUUUCUUUCCGAAUCAAAUAAUUUGUUCGUUAUUCGAAUCAUCGUUUAAUUCAGUUUUUAAUUAACGUGAGAGUCUCUCGCCUUUAAAUGAAAAUUCUCGCGAUUCUUAAUAAACGCGGACCUCGUUGGAUGUUAGAGACCGUCACCACGAGAUAUCAACCGAUUCAUUUCUUUCCGAAUCAAAUAAUUUGUUCGUUAUUCGAAUCAUCGUUUAAUUCAGUUUUUAAUUAACGUGAGAGUCUCUCGCCUUUAAAUGAAAAUUCUCGCGAUUCUUAAUAAACGCGGACCUCGUUGGAUAUUAGACACCGUCACCACGAGAUAUCAACCGAUUCAUUUCUUUCCGAAUCAAAUAAUUUGUUCGUUAUUCGAAUCAUCGUUUAAUUCAGUUUUUAAUGAACGUGAGAGUCUCUCAUCUUUAAAUGAAAAUUCUCGCGAUUCUUCGGCGUUCUGUGUUUUUUCGUUAAUACGGUCGAAAUUACGAGCGUCAGCAACGUGAUGCAAUGUUACGAAUGCCACCGUUGCUGUCGCCUCUUCGUGUUUAUUACGUCCUCGUUUCCUAUUGUACUCCAAAUCGAGCAGCAACCAGUUUGGGUCAAGUUCGAAAGUGUUCGAGCGCGUUACGUAAUUUACCAGAAACUUCCGGCCAGUGGCCUCGUCUGAUUUUCACGAUUUCAUAAACUUUACAGCGCCCCCUUCUUUUCUAGUCGUCGAAUCAGGUUGUUCCGAAACUUUCGUGGCUUUGUUCGAAAUUUGUAGCCCCGAUAUAACGAACUUGAUAAAUAUUUCCGUCGUCUGGAAUUUCAUAAUUUCCGUUUCCUCGUCCUCCGGCUUUCUACUUGCCGUAGUUUUAAUUAAAAUAUUUUUAUUCCGCUCUGGAUGGAAUUUGAAAAACUUCAACCGUAGGCGAUCGUGACUCGGUUCUAUGGCGCGGGAAUUGUAUUUUUUCGUAUUAAUUACGGUCGAAUAAAUUUCUGUCGGAUGAUUUGAUUGUAUGCAAAUGCCCGCUUCAUUGUCGCCGCGAAUAUAAGGUUGCUAAAGUCAGAAAAAAAGAGUACACAAUUUUAAUUUUACUAUGCAGACAUUUAUCUUUUUAACGGUCUGACCCUGCCUUCCGGGUUAUUUACCAUGGAACGGAAAUUAAAAAAUUGAUGAGUAACAAGGUAACAAGACUAUUUUGCAACCUGGUAUUUAAAAAAAAAAAAAGAUUUAUUGUCAUAAUCGUGCAUGGAUAAUCGAUCAUCUGAAGAAUAUUAGCAAUCAUUUUGCAUUCCCAUAAGAUUGAAUUUCUACAUUUCUAUGUUUCUCGACGGUAUAAUUCCAGGAAAUUAAGUUGCAGUAUUUUCCUCACGCUAUAAACGAUUACGGCGAAAUUACUAUUGCGAAAGGAAUAAGAUGAGACGAGGAGAAAGCCUGCGAAGUACAUUUCAAAGCGUGAAAGUUAAAUGUCUUGAAAACUGGCUUCGUUCGCGCCAUUGUUUCGCUUCUGCGCAACUACAGCCGUGCUUUUUCGUGUCUCCGCUAGGGGCGUCAGUGAGUGGGGUACCAAUCAGCGCUGGUGUAAUCAAUUUCCGGCAGGUCGCCGCCAUAAUUCUUUGGCAAGUGACUCGGUGGGAUGUGAGUGUGAAGGGACGCCAUUUUGCUUCCGUGGAAGAACAUACGCUUCUUCA